rnacentral:rRNA from 1 species
AGUCAAUAGAUACCCUGGUAGUCCAUGCCGUAAACGAUGAUUGCUAGGUGUGGGGGGUCUGACCCCUUCCGUGCCGGAGUUAAACACAAUAAGCAAUCCACCUGGGGAGUACGGCCGCAAGGUUGAAACUCAAAGGAAUUGACGGGGGCCCGCACAAGCAGUGGAGUAUGUGGUUUAAAUUCGAAGCAACGCGAAGAACCUUACCAGGUCUUGACAUCCACCGAAUCCUGUAGAGAUACGGGAGUGCCCUUCGGGGAACGGUGAGACAGGUGGUGCAUGGUUGUCGUCAGCUCGUGUCGUGAGAUGUUGGGUUAAGUCCCGCAACGAGCGCAACCCUUGUGAAUAGUUGCUACGAAAGAGCACUCUAUUCAGACCGCCGUUGACAAAACGGAGGAAGGUGGGGAUGACGUCAAAUCAUCAUGCCCCUUAUGACCUGGGCUACACACGUACUACAAUGGCCGUUAACAGAGGGAUGCAAUACCGCGAGGUGGAGCGAACCCCUAAAAA